rnacentral:rRNA from 1 species
GGGGAAUAUUGCACAAUGGAGGAAACUCUGAUGCAGCGACGCCGCGUGAGUGAAGAAGGUCUUCGGAUCGUAAAACUCUGUCCUUGGUGACGAAAAAAAUGACGGUAGCCAAGGAGGAAGCCCCGGCUAACUACGUGCCAGCAGCCGCGGUAAUACGUAGGGGGCGAGCGUUGUCCGGAUUUACUGGGCGUAAAGGGUGAGUAGGCGGUAAUGUGUGUCAGAUGUUUAAUCUAUGAGCUCAACUCAUAUCAGCAUUUGAAACUACAUAACUUGAGUGCAGGAGAGGUAAGUGGAAUUCCUAGUGUAGCGGUGGAAUGCGUAGAUAUUAGGAGGAACACCGGUGGCGAAGGCGACUUACUGGACUGUAACUGACGCUGAGACACGAAAGCGUGGGGAGCGAACA